GCUCGCUUAGGCAACGCAUGCAAUAAAAUUGGAACAAUACAGAGAGGAUUAGCAUGGCCCCUAAGCAAGGAUGACACAUGAAUUCAUUAAGCAUUCCAGAUUUUU